GGCGGCAUGGCCAAGUGGACUAAGGCAGCGGAUUGCAAAUCCGGUAUCCUGGGUUCGAAUCCCAGUGCCGCCUCCA
rnacentral:tRNA from 3 species